UUCUUCGUGGGUAGAGGUAUAGUAGGGAAUGUGCACCAGCGCGCCAUCCAGUGUUGUCCAAACCAAGCGGCGCCAAGUUUUAACAAAUUCGCCGGCACUACGAUUGAAUUGCAUUUGAUUUGAUUUUAUAGAAACCAGACCACUUUUUUUCCAUUUUUACGCUUGUCACUGAUCCAUGAAUCCCGAGGGUGGGUCAAGAAGGAGCUUUCAGCACGAAAACUACAACCGCCAUCCACUCGGCCACACAGUCAAUGGUAUUUCCAGUUUGUUUAUAUGGGAAAUGUAGUUCAUAAGUGUGAUUGGUCAAAAACGCGACGCGCGGAACUUGGUGAGUUUUACAUCCUGCUUCUGUCAACAACCGGUUCAGAAUUACAGUUUAUGUUAUUAUUCCUCACUCCGUGUCAGUAUUGUGCUUAUUAACAUCCCAUAUACACACUCAGCGGCCUCUUCUUCUUCGGUAAUGGAGGGACGGUGCGCUGUUGAGACCUGGACAGAGUUUGGUUUUUUAGCAACAUCAACUAUACCGAAGGUCAGGUUUGGAACAGAUGUGUUCAUCUGCACUGGCAGCGACGAGGUUUGUGUCUUCAGUACUCAUGAGAGAAGACUCAAGGCUGUUCUGCAGUUACCUGGUCCAGUGACUGACCUGGUAGAGAGCCAUGACAAGCAGCUCUUCUAUGUGGCAUGUAGCACUGGAGUUUAUUGUGUCAAUUUACAAUCUCUGCUACACAGGGCUCAAAGCUCCUCACCUGAUGCAUCUUCCAAUCCUGCUGAGCUGAAAAUCUCCUCUGAGUUUCUUGUUAUUGAAGCAGAUGAAGUGUCGUCUCUGCUCCUUGUUGGCUCGGUGCUCCUGACCGUCUGCCAGAGAGACUCCUCCUGGCUGGUGACUUUGAUUAAAACACCAGAACAAACACCGUCCAGCAGCUAUGAGGUGCUCGGUUCAUUUAGUCUGCCUCUGGUCUCAGCUGUUGUUCAAGGUGACACUGAGUCAAAGACAGGGCGGAGAAGGACGUCUGUGUUGAUUUGUCUCCAUUCUGGUGACACAGCACCAUUAACUUUACCUCAUGGCCACUUCUGCCUCGAGCCCGUCCUCUUCAAACUUCUGUUUGGAGUCGAAGCUGCUCUCGCCAAAUCACCGGUUAUCCUGUGCGGCCUGCCAGACGGGCGCCUGUGUUUCCUCCCUCUGCGUCUUCCAGGAGCCCGGCUUCGAGUUCUGCACAGCCUUGAGCAGCCAGUUGUGUUCGUUGGAGCGUCUGUCGUCAUGGAAACCGGCCCGGGACACGCACAGUGUUUGGUGGCAAUGGGUGAACAGGGCAGAGUGGUCCUGAUCAAGACUGAGAAGGGAGGAUCAGAGGAUGGGAGCAGCCUCGCUGGUUUCACUGAGGGGUUAGUAGCGGGGCCUGUUCAGUGUGGCUGCCUGGAUAGAAACUGUCUUUACUACAGCACUGGUUCAGAUCUGCUGCUGCUGGAUCUGUCAGAGGGAUCUUCUGGGAAAGAAGGCAAAGAGAGGGAUGAAGAGACAUCCAGGAAGACCCUCCAGAGUCCCGCCAGUUUAAAUGUGUGCAGCGUUGUCGCCUUGGCUGAGCCGACAUCCAACACUUCAGGUGAAGUGCAGCUGCUGGGACUGUCUGUCAGAGGGCAGCUCCAGAGGAUCAGUUUACCUGCGAGGAGAAAAGAUGCAGGAUUGUCCAAGCUGCCUUCCACACAAGUGGGCCGAAGCAUCAGGGACCUCCUGUCUGCUAUCGGAGAUGUCUGCGAAAGAGCAUCGGUGCUGAAAACAGCCAUCAAAUCCAAAAACCAGAUUCUGAGACACCUGAAUCAGGUCGUCAACAUCAGUUUCCUGCUCACAGCCACUAGUAAUACUGAAGAUGAUCCUGCCAUUAAGGAGAAGCCAAUCAGAUGUCACGCUAUGACUAGCUGGAGCAGACUGCUUCAAACAGACUCUCUGAAUCUUACAUGUGUUCUGGAUAAUUCCAGUCCUUAUGUCUUGGAACGAGGCUGGACUCUGAGCAUCACCGUGUUUCCUUUGUGCUGCUCUUCCGCCGCAAGAGAAGAAAUUUCCUCCACAAACUUUUCAUUCCCAUUCCAGAAUCUCAAUUCAGGGGAAACUUUAGAGGUGUCGCUGCCUAUAGCAGCUGCAGGAGACUCAUCUAUCCCGAUGACUGUGAACUGCUCGCUCAUCUUCUCCCUCUCAAGUCUUCUGGGAGAGCAGGAGGCAGCGAACUGUCCUGGGUUGCAGAGCAGCAAUAUCAGUUUGCCCUUGAACACACUGACAGUGGACUGGUUGAAUGCUCUGCAGCUAAACAGUGCCACAGCCAGACAUAAAAUGGUCACAUUUCAAUCCGGCAGCAUCACAACAGACGCCAUCCAAGCUUUUAUAAGCUCACAGCAGAUGAGGUGCAGUGGAAGAGCCGACAGAGGAGGAGAGAGUGGAUCAACGCCGGAGAAGUAUUCAGCGAGUGUGCGGGUGUCAUUGGAGUUAUUGAAAGAUUCACUGGUGUUAAAAAACUCUAAUUUGGAUCCCAAGGUGCCGAAGAUGGCCCCUGAAAGCCUCUGCAGCUCUCUGAUUGAGUGGCUGUUGUCUGAAGGUCCAGGAGGAGUGAAGAUGGGACACCAAGGAGAUAUGAUUUCCUUGAGCAGCUCAGCUGUCCACGCUCGUGGUCCAAAUGGAGCCACAGUCAAACUGACUGCGAAACAGAUAAACGUCGAGGAGGAGAACACGGAGAAGGAGGAGCGUCUGACAGCAGUAGAGGUUCAGGUCGAGAGCUCAUCCAUAGCAGCAGUGUGUGGACUGCAUCAUGCUGUGCUGAGCCGGAUACAGACAGGGCUCAGCUGGGACUUCACAGCCGCUAUCUGAUAGAUGAGAGAGGAGACAGAGGAAGGAGAGAAGGAUGGAGGAAGAGAAAGAAACAGAGAACGGGGGGGGGAAAGAGAUUGGAUACGCUGAAAUCCAAGCCAGCAAUCUGAGGAUAUCAAUAGCUGUGUUGAUGACCAUCUUCGACACACCCCUUGGUCAAGCAUAAGCAGUAAGAUGUUGUCAUCACAUCCAUGAUCGCUGGUAAACGACGGCCACAGCAUCGCACUAUCUGGUGCAUGUGGACAACACACAGGUAGCUUCAAUAGUGCCUCAUUUUGGAUCAGACCCCAGAUCCAGCUCCUCUUCCUGAUGCUGUCCAACUUCCAGCCUGCAAGUGGAGCAGGCCUAACUAAUCCAUCAACGAUAGAUGGCUCUGACAUCAAUUUUUAAUGGGCAGAGUGGACCACUUAGACCCGAGGAACACAGGAAGGCGAUGAGAGACAUGAUAACGGAUCUACAUGACAAGCUAACGCACAAACUUGCACACACACACACACACACACACACACACGCUUGCAUACUUGCAGGCACAAACAUACAAUUCACUGCUGCAUUUCAUGCCUGUCAACAAAACUUUUUACAAUUUUAAAUCUAAAUUCAUGCUUUUCCACAUAACAGCUAACCCUGUUGUUUGUUUGUUUUUUUUUUCCUGCAUGUUGCACUGCACUAAAUGAAGCCCAAACGUUGGUGCUAAUUUAUGAGACACAGAUGACAUUAGGCAGGAUGAAAUGAAGAGCCCACCUGUCUCCACUCAUACUCCUGUGGUCCUUUGGGAGUCAUCCUACAGCUGUAUCCUCCCUUCUCUGCUUUCCACUCUCCCCUUCCUUCUCCUGAAUCAUCGUGUAGAACCCAGAGACCGAGGACCUAUAACAGCAGGACUCCCCCAGGAGCAGCAUGAGGAACACGACCAAGAGCUAGAGGUGUUGAUCCAGCCUCCAAACCACGCAGAUCCAAAUCUAAUCGAGUAGGAAAAGAUCCCAGUGCCAGACACCACCUCCAGAGAUCCUGUACCCGUGCAUUAAUGGGUCUGGAAACACCAGAGGGACCUACACAACAUCAGACCAAAGAACUACAGACUCUUCACAACCUGCUCAAACUCUUGGUACAGGAUCUCACCACAUGGAUCAAGAAGGUUUCUGUCUCAUUUCUACUCUGAAGCUCACCUUCUGCUCAAACUGCUGACAAAUGUUUCUGCUGCUCUAAAGUCUGGUCUCCAGAACUUCCUAAAAACUCUCAAAGUCUCUUCUGCUGCAGGUUGCUUUGUAGAACUGUUCCAGAAAACCUCACUAAACCACAUGGAGGGGCCUCAAGAUAGUCGUCCAAAUGAAACCGUACAAAAACCAAACUAAGGCACAACCCAAACGCUAAAGUCUCCUGCAGCCUACCAGAGAACCUCUGAGAACAGAGAAUCAGGACAGGAACUCUUACCUUCUGGACUACCAACGAUGGUUCUCAAACAAGAAUACAGAAUGUGUCUGACCAAAAACCUCUAAAGACUCACUACAGCCAAGAUAAAGACACAACUCAGCUGCACCAAAUCCACUAAUCACUGCACACAUUAGCACCAUGUGCUAACUGUGGCUAAAGAACCUCAUUUACCAAGACAACUAUCCAGUACAAAGCCCUAAAACACACCAAGAAACACAAAGACGAUUUUACUGCUGGAAGCUGCAAGCCAACGCCUAAAGAACAAACCAAAGCAAUGGAGCCAAACCCGGUUCAGUGGUGAACAGAAGCAGAGAAAAUGUUUGUCUGCAGCUAAAUAAAGCAGGAAGACACUGAGCUGCUCAGGUGUUCCUGAUAACACCUAGCAGCCACCUGGACAGCCAAUAGGAACACAGCUUACUGGAAGUCCAGAGGGCUGGGUUAGUCAAGUAAAUUUAGUUUAAAGUUGAAGCAGAAAGUUAACAAAGAAAGUUGAAAACCUCCUUCUGAUACCUGAAAGACUAAGUUUACAACAACACAACAUGUGAGUAGAAAAAUCACAGUCUGUCUUUAGUUCAGCUGAAAAUAUUAGUUUUUUUCUUUUUUCUUUUCUUUUCUUACAGUUACAGAAGUGGUUUGAUUGCAGUGAUUGCCUCAAAAGGUUGUGCAAUAAAAUAUUAAGUUAGGGUACCAUCAUUUUUGUCCAGGUCUGUUUCAUGAGUUUAUUUUUUAAAUAAUUCUGUUGAACCACGGUUCAAUAGCAAUGUCUCAUUUUCACUGAUUAAUUUUCAGAAAAUUUUUAUUUAGUAAUACUUUUGUCAGAUUAAAAUUAUUUCUGUGA